GGGGGGGGGGGGGGGGGGUGUUGCUGGCUCUCCAGCGCCUGCAGCUUCCUCCCGGGGAAGGGCCUCGGAAAUACCAGCGGGCUUUGUUGGGGCUGGUUACUCACGGCAAAGGAAUGACAGCCGGACUCCGCUGGACUUUCUAGGAACUGCAGCUGAGCUAGGUCAGUUGGUCCUGAGCCCCUGUCACAGAGAGGUGGGGAGCAGGCGAGUGUGGCUUGUGGUGACCCCAGCACAGCAGCCUCAGGACCCGGGGUUCCACCACUACUGGCUGAUUUUUUUUUUCUCCUGAGAAAAAGACAGAGAAAGAGACCGAGGUGAAUGUAUCUCGUCUUCCAGCACUCAAGUUUCCUCCAGUGCACAGGGGUCAGGCGUGACCCUGGUGAGUGCAUGAUGGAGCUGGCGCAUUCUCCAGGUGAGAGGCUCAUCCUUCAACCGAGAGACACAGGCUGAAGAAUCUCCAGGACACUGUCUAGCUCCUAUAGUCCACACAUCAGCACUGAAUGUUGAAACCCUUAUGGUAUCUGACUGUAAGAACUGAAUAGACAGGCUCUUGCCUUCGUUCUAGAGAAGACUUCUUGCUUGGGUUGUGCUGCCUGGUUAGAGGAUUUCCUCCAUGUUGGGCUUAUCAAACAGUCCACACCAGGUCCACUCCCACUGUUCUCAUCUGCUGGACUAGCUGAGUAGCAUAAUUUCCAUGCAUCCAGCAACUGUUGAUAGCUGGAGCCCUGGGGGUGGUCUCUGUUACCUCAGCAGCUGCUUAAAUAGCAGGUGGAAGGAAUUUCCUCUGGACCACAGCUGCUCAGAGGAUCACUGGAACAAUGGUUGAUGGCCACCACAAGAAUGUGUCAAAAUCAGUUUUCAUCAAAGGCAGAGAAUUGUCUCAGGUUGACGGACAGGCUAGCCUGAGUAUAUUCUCUGGCCUCUAAAACUGGGUUGUGAAGUAUUCCCCCUUCCCCCCCCAGAAAAAGCCCCACACAUGUUAAAUAUUCAGUAAACAUUAACUCUUUAUUAUUAAUAUCAGAUCUCAUGGAAUUAUGAGAUUAAGAGGAUGAUGAUAGCUAAACUCUGCUAAUCCUUCCAAGGCCAGUUCAGAUUUCCUUUCCUUUGGAAUCUUCCCCCCCCCCCUUGGACUUCUCAGUCUCUGCUCAUCUCUGGCAUUCCUUCAUCAAUUAUUUGUCAAGUGCUAGGGGUCGUAGGUAUUGAGACUAUGCUAAGAACAGCAAGUUCAUGGUCCCUGACUUUAAGGAUUUUGUAUUCUACUUGGACAAUGGAGAAACAAGAGUUAGCAUCAUCAUUCACCGGGUCUACAGGACAUAUACAUGCAUGUUUUUGUUUUUUUUUUUUUAACCAGAAUACUGCUCACCUCUGGUUUAGGUGCAGGGGAUUGAACCUUGAGGACUUUGGAGCCUUAGGGAUGAGAGUCUCUGCAUAGUCAUUAUGCUGUCUAUCCAUGCCCUACAUCCAUUCUUCACUUUUCUAUACAUUGAGCAUAAUUAUCUGAGUUGAGGUAUUUUUAUCUUCGGAGAAUGAACUUCCAUCUUUUUGGGCUUUAGCUGUUGCUGAGCAUUCUCUGUCCUUCACACCAAUAUUCUCUGUCUCACACCUUCCUCUUGGAUGGUGAGGGAAGGAACUGGGCAGUGUGGGAGGUGGACACGGGGCUAUAGCUCACUGUUACUGCACUGGAUUAUGGGAGAGUGCACAUGAGCCCUUAGUCUGCACUGGUCCAGCUCAAAUGUCAGCGAGAGUGUUGACCAGAAUGGCGAGUGGCUGGUGAAUGAGAAUGUCCUGGUCUCAAGCCAGACUUCUAUCUUCUUCUGGGCUUUAUGUUCCUUUGAAAAUAUACACAAGACUUGGUAUGAGUGGGCACUGCCUUGUGAACAUUUAGAAAGAAGGAAGUUAUUUCUUUUAAGAUUUCUUUAUCUAUUUAUUUGAAAGCAGGAGG